AAGACUAUACUUUCAGGGAUUGUUUCUAUAAUUUCUGAUUUGAGAAAUGUGUUUCUAGAGUGUGUGGUCUCGCCAACCACGAUGAUUAGUUGUGGUAUUCCUUUUUGAGCCUAAAACUGGCACACAACCAUGAUUUUGUCAUGUGUUUUCUGUCCUUGAUGACUGUUCAUUGCUUCUUUUUGGAGCUUUGAUAAAGGGAAUAUAAUCUGAGUGGU
ensembl:snoRNA U3 Small nucleolar RNA U3